rnacentral:hammerhead_ribozyme from 1 species
AUCCAACUGACGAGUCCCAAAUAGGACGAAAAGCGUGUCCUGGAU